AGAAAAGCAGGGGAUCGCAAGACCUUGCGCUUUUGGAGCGGCCGAUGUCUGAUUAGCUAGUUGGUGAGGUAAAGGCUUACCAAGGCGUCGAUCAGUAGCUGGUCUGAGAGGACGACCAGCCACACUGGGACUGAGACACGGCCCAGACUCCUACGGGAGGCAGCAGUGGGGAAUUUUGGACAAUGGGGGAAACCCUGAUCCAGCCAUGCCGCGUGAGUGAAGAAGGCCUUCGGGUUGUAAAGCUCUUUCAGCCGGAACGAAACGGUCACAGCUAAUACCUGUGACUACUGACGGUACCGGAAGAAGAAGCACCGGCUAACUACGUGCCAGCAGCCGCGGUAAUACGUAGGGUGCGAGCGUUAAUCGGAAUUACUGGGCGUAAAGCGUGCGCAGGCGGUUUUGUAAGUCAGAUGUGAAAUCCCCGGGCUUAACCUGGGAACUGCGUUUGAAACUACAAAGCU
rnacentral:rRNA from 1 species